rnacentral:rRNA from 1 species
UACGUAGGGGGCAAGCGUUAUCCGGAUUUACUGGGUGUAAAGGGAGCGUAGACGGCAGCACAAGUCUGGAGUGAAAUCCCAUGGCUUAACCAUGGAACUGCUUUGGAAACUGUGCAGCUGGAGUGCAGGAGAGGUAAGCGGAAUUCCUAGUGUAGCGGUGAAAUGCGUGGAUAUUAGGAGGAACACCAGUGGCGAAGGCGGCCUACUGGGCUCUAACUGACGCUGAGGCACGAAAGCGUGGGUAGCAAACAGG